rnacentral:rRNA from 1 species
AGUGAACGCUGGCGGUAGGCCUAACACAUGCAAGUCGAACGGCAGCACAGUAAGAGCUUGCUCUUACGGGUGGCGAGUGGCGGACGGGUGAGGAAUACAUCGGAAUCUACUUUUUCGUGGGGGAUAACGUAGGGAAACUUACGCUAAUACCGCAUACGACCUACGGGUGAAAGCAGGGGAUCUUCGGACCUUGCGCGAUUGAAUGAGCCGAUGUCGGAUUAGCUAGUUGGCGGGGUAAAGGCCCACCAAGGCGACGAUCCGUAGCUGGUCUGAGAGGAUGAUCAGCCACACUGGAACUGAGACACGGUCCAGACUCCUACGGGAGGCAGCAGUGGGGAAUAUUGGACAAUGGGCGCAAGCCUGAUCCAGCCAUACCGCGUGGGUGAAGAAGGCCUUCGGGUUGUAGAGCCCUUUUGUUGGGAAAGAAAAGCAGCAGGUUAAUACCCCGCUGUUCUGACGGUACCCAAAGAAUAGGCACCGGCUAACUUCGUG